AGCGUUGUCCGGAUUUAUUGGGCGUAAAGAGCUCGUAGGCGGCUUGUCGCGUCGACUGUGAAAACCCGCAGCUCAACUGUGGGCUUGCAGCCGAUACGGGCAGGCUAGAGUUCGGUAGGGGAGACUGGAAUUCCUGGUGUAGCGGUGAAAUGCGCAGAUAUCAGGAGGAACACCGGUGGCGAAGGCGGGUCUCUGGGCCGAUACUGACGCUGAGGAGCGAAAGCGUGGGGAGCGAACAGG
rnacentral:rRNA from 1 species